rnacentral:rRNA from 1 species
UACGGGGGGGGCAAGCGUUGUUCGGAAUUACUGGGCGUAAAGGGCUCGUAGGCGGCCAACUAAGUCAGACGUGAAAUCCCUCGGCUUAACCGGGGAACUGCAUCUGAUACUGGAUGGCUUGAGUUCGGGAGAGGGAUGCGGAAUUCCAGGUGUAGCGGUGAAAUGCGUAGAUAUCUGGAGGAACUCCGGUGGCGAAGGCGGCCCGCUGGACCCGAUCUGACGCUGAGGCGCGAAAGCCAGGGGAGCGAACGGG